rnacentral:rRNA from 1 species
GAUGAACGCUGGCGGCGUGCCUAAUACAUGCAAGUCGAGCGAACGGACGAGAAGCUUGCUUCUCUGAUGUUAGCGGCGGACGGGUGAGUAACACGUGGAUAACCUACCUAUAAGACUGGGAUAACUUCGGGAAACCGGAGCUAAUACCGGAUAAUAUUUUGAACCGCAUGGUUCAAAAGUGAAAGACGGUCUUGCUGUCACUUAUAGAUGGAUCCGCGCUGCAUUAGCUAGUUGGUAAGGUAACGGCUUACCAAGGCAACGAUGCAUAGCCGACCUGAGAGGGUGAUCGGCCACACUGGAACUGAGACACGGUCCAGACUCCUACGGGAGGCAGCAGUAGGGAAUCUUCCGCAAAGGGCGAAAGCCUGACGGAGCAACGCCGCGUGAGUGAUGAAGGUCUUCGGAUCGUAAAACUCUGUUAUUAGGGAAGAACAUAUGUGUAAGUAACUGUGCACAUCUUGACGGUACCUAAUCGGAAAGCCACGGCUAACUACGUG